AUUGAACGCUGUCGGCAGGCCUAACACAUGCAAGUCGAACGAGUGGCGGACGGGUGAGUAAUGUCUGGGAAACUGCCCGAUGGCGGGGGAUAACUACUGGAAACGGUAGCUAAUACCGCAUACCAUCGGAUGUGCCCAGAUGGGAUUAGCUAGUAGGUGAGGUACCGGCUCACCUAGGCGACUAUCCCGAGCUGGUCUGAGAGGAUGACCAGCCACACUGGAACUGAGACACGGUCCAGACUCCUACGGGAGGCAGCAGUGGGGAAUAUUGCACAAUGGGCGCAAGCCUGAUGCAGCCAUGCCGCGGGUAUGAAGAAGGCCGUCGGGUUGUAAAGUACUGUCAGCGAGGAGGCGUUACUCGCAGAAGAAGCACCGGCUAACUCCGUGCCAGCAGCCGCGGUAAUUC
rnacentral:rRNA from 1 species